rnacentral:antisense_RNA from 1 species
UGUGGGAGCGGGCUUGCCCGCGAUGAGGCCAUUACAUUCACCAUCUAUACCGAAUGUCAGUCCGCCAUCGCGGGCAAGCCCGCUCCCACA